UUGACCUCGGAUAAGGUAGGGUUACCCGCUGAACUUAA
rnacentral:rRNA from 1 species